rnacentral:rRNA from 1 species
CAGUCGCCACGGGAAUACGUAGGGGGCAAGCGUUAUCCGGAAUUACUGGGUGUAAAGGGAGCGUAGACGGUUAAACAAGUCUGAAGUGAAAUGCCGGGGCUCAACCCCGGAGCUGCUUUGGAAACUGUUUAACUUGAGUGCAAGAGGGGAGAGUGGAAUUCCAUGUGCAGCGGUGAAAUGCGUAGAUAUAUGGAGGAACACCGGUGGCGAAAGCGGCUCUCUGGCUUGUAACUGACGCUGAGGCUCGAAAGCGUGGGGAGCAAACAGGAUUAGAUACCCCUGUAGUCCCUGUCUCUUAUAA